GGGUGGGGGGGUGGGGGGGGGGGGGGGGGCUACAGUUAGAUAAUAUUCUGGUCAGCACAUUCGAUAAACUACAUGGAAUUCAUUAAAUCACUUCUUUUUCUUUCAGUGGUCUUCAACUUUUAAUCUCCAAGAAGGAAAUGUAAUUAAAAGAUGAAUAAAGUAUCCCUAAGAAUACCAGAAGAAAGGCUAUGUGUUGAGAAAAACAGCCCUUCCUCAGUACCUCAGAACUAGAUGAUAGCCCUUAAUUGUUACUUUAUGCUGAAUAUGACACAGUAUAGAAGAUCUGAUCAUGAAGAAGUAACACCAUUGAUACACUUGCCAACUGCCAAAAUUACUUUCUGAUAGUAUGACGAGAUUAGAAGAUAUCAUGGUGUAGUCAUGACACAAACUGCAAAAUCAAAGAAUUAAUUGUCUUCCCCAGAGGAUGAACAGAGCAAGAUGGCUUCACAUGGAUAACAUUUCCUUUCGAGUUUUGAAAUUAAUUUGUCAGAAUGUUAUGCAUCGUUAUCAACAGAAAAGAACUUCAUAGGUAGACCAAAGCUGACAUGGGAUGAGAUCCUAGAACAAGACCUAGAGUUUACAGGAUUGGAUAGGAUCAAUCCACUGGGUCGCCAGGUGUGGAAGUACAAACUUCAACCUCGACAGGACAGCCAGGCCUCACCCUUGCAAAAAGAUUAAUUUGGCCUGGAUAGUCAAAAUGAGUGAUGAUGAUUGAUAUCAAGGUCUGACACUGGAAGCUCAGUAAGGGUAGAUGCUGGCAAUGGAGCUGUUUAGCAAUAAAACAAACAAGUUUAACAUUAAACAUGUUUGUAUACUUUUUUGGCUCACCUGAGCCAAAGGCUCAAGUGAGCUUUUCUGAUCACCUUUGCCUGUCGUCUGUCUGUUUAUAAACUUUUCACAUUUUCAUUUUCUUCUCCAGAGUGAACCACUGGGCCAGUUUCAAUCAAACUUGGUAUGCAUCAUCAAUAGAUAAAGGGUAUUCAAGUUUGUUCAUAUAAAGGGUCAUGCACCCUUCAAAAAGGAAAUAAUCAUGGAAAUGCAAAAAUAGGGUGGGGUCAUUUAAAAAACCUUUUCAAGAACCACUGGACCAGGAAAGUUGAAUUCACACGAAAGGUUCCUGUUCUGUGCAAAUCAUGGUCUCUGAGGGUAGGGUGGGGUCACAAUAGAGAAUCAAAGUUUUACAUUCAUAUAUAGUGCAUAUUCAAGUUUGUAAAAAGCUCACAGGGGUAGGGUGGGGGUCACAAUAGCGGAUUUAAGUUUUACAUGUGAAAUAUAUACAAGGAAAAUCUUUUAAAAUCUUCUCCUCAAAAACUAGAUGCAGAACCGUAGCUCUUUGAAAAGAGAGCUUCAGAUGAACCCCUUAUAAAAAAAACUUCAAUUUAUGGCAGAGAACAAAAGUGCAUGUUUAAGUCCCUCUAUCACUGCAUUCCUGCAUCGCUGUCUCAUGAAUUUAAUAUUAAAUAAUUCCCAACAUAUUUUCCCACUAUACUUGUUUCCAAACAUACUUUCAAAUAUUUUCUAAACCCACAUAUAACCCCAAAACAGCUUCAAGUGAUUUCAAUUUCUUUGUUGAUGUAGCCAUGUUAAGUAGCCAGUCAAUUUGAAACCCAGUUCAUUUCCAUACUCAUACUCAUUUUGAAACAUAAUGUCUGUGUGAACUAAUAUCCUCACAAAUAUUUUUAGUGAAAUAUUUAGGAUGAAAUCAUCCCAGUUGGGUUAAAUACUUAUUAUUCAAAUACUGUAGGUUUGAAUAUUGAACUAAUCUCACAGCUUUCUUAAGUUUGGUCCCCAUCCCCACCAGUCUGUUUUUACGCUUAACUAUUGAAAUGGAGUGUAAGGGAUCAGACUAGGCUUUUAUAGCAUUAUCAAUUUUCAAAAGCUUUAGAAAAAUUAUACAAUUUUAGGUCACUUGAGUAAACUCAGAUGACAUAUUGCUAUUGAUCUGCAUCUGUUGUAGUCCGUCGACAUUAACAAUUGAACAUUUUAAACUAAAUUCUAUAACUGAAAGAUGAAGAUACCGCACAGCGAUCAAUCUAUGAUUCAAAUAACGGAAUUCUUUUCAAAUUUAGUAUGAAGCACACAAAUUUACAUUAAACCUUCUUGACAUAGUGCAUAUUCAAGUUUGUUAAAAUCAUUUCCCCGGGAGUUAUGGUGUGGUAACAAUAGGGGGUCAAAGUUUUAUAUGCUAGCUGAUAUAAAGGAAAAUUCUUUAAAGAUAUCUCUUGAACUAUUUAAGCUAGGACUUUCAUAUCUUGUAUAUACAAUUUUUAUGGCAAAACAAAUCUGACCUAUUCAGUAUGUCCUGAACUACAUUGUGUUUAAGGUAGAUCUUUCAUAUAUAUUAUAUAUUUUGAAUUUCUUAUGAUAAAACCUUUCAUCUUGUUGAGGAGCCUCUCACCUCUGGUUGGCACGGGUUUGAAUCCUGCUCGCACCGGUAAUUGAGAAAGUUUUCCAGUUUACUCUCGGAAGGUCGGGGGUCUCUUCCCAGGUACAUUGUAUCUGGGUUCUCUCUUCCACCAAUAAAAACUGGGCACCACCAGAUAACUGAAAAAUUGUUGAGUGUGGCGGAAAACAGUUAAAACAAUCAAUCAUAUUAUGUUAUUUGACCUUGUGACCCUGAACUCUGAGUUUGACAUACUUUUAAGAAAGUAUAACGUAUUAAGUAUAUCCAGGACUAUUUUAGAUAGGGCAUUUAUGUUUUGUAUAUUGAUUACUUAUGGCAAGGUCUUUCAUAUCAUACCAAGACCUACGACUUUUUACCUUGGUCUUAUCCAGAACAGCAAUAUCAUGCUAGUCAUAUCUUUGUCUUAUAUGAUUUCAUUUUAGUAAUGUUGUGUUCUUUAGAGCUAGGUUUGGGUCACAUUAUUCAUGAGAAUAAAGAUUGAUAAAAUAGCAUUUAAAAAUCAAAACAGCAGGGCCAAGAUGACUCAGGUGAGCGAUGUGGCCCAUGGGCCUCUUGUUGAUUUUGAUAUUUCUACCUAUAUCAUUUGUAUGAGAAAUGGAACUCCUUUUUUUCUUUUACAAAUACAUGUAUUAUCAUAUGGAUCCAUCUUUGUUGAUUAUUUAAUCAAAGGACAUAUUCAAUUCAUUCAAUGUAUUAAAUGUAAAUUUAUGGAUAUGUCUGUGGUUGAAUUACUUAUGUAUGUAUGUAUACAUUUUUCUCGCACAUGCAAUUACAUAUAUGAUGUAUAUAUAUUUACUAAUUGUACAUGUAAUAUCCCCUGUUAUAUAAUAAAAUAUAUGACUGAGAAUAAAA